AAGAAGUCAGGCCAGAUUAAGCCAUAGUACGGUAAGAGCUAUGCUGCCUGUGAGCCCCGUCUAAGGACGUAAAAUGAAGUCAGGCCGAAAGCCACGGCUUGAGCAAACCGUGCUGCCUGUAGCUCCAUCGUGGGGAUGUAAAAACCUGGGAGGCUGCAACCCAUGGAAGCUGUACGCAUGGGGUAGCAGACUAGUGGUUAGAGGAGACCCCUCCCGAAACACAACGCAGCAGCGGGGCCCAACACCAGGGGAAGCUGUACCUUGGUGGUAAGGACUAGAG
rnacentral:lncRNA from 1 species